GACCAGAUUCGUGGUCAUGUUAGGCCAAUGAGUGCCUUGGAUCCAGUGAUAGAGCAUGGCGGGGCCUGCUCGGGGUUAGUGCGGAACUGAUCAGCUGCCUAACCUUGGUUUUAAUUAAAACGUGAUAGUCCAAUUCGAUAAUUCUCUUGGAAAGAUUGAAUUACUCCAGUAUUCCAUUGACGCGAGGUAUUGUGAAUCAUUCUAUACAAUACCUUAAUCUUAUAAAUUUCUGUCGAAUCUUUUACUAAAGUAUCUUGAGCCUUUGAACUUCUAUCUUAUUGAUUCAGAAUUGUUAUUGUUUAUUAUUACUUGCUGAGCAUUGUUGCUCACCCUUGCUAUUCCUUUCUAACCAUUUCAGAAAGGCAUAAAGAUGAGAUGAUUGAUUGAGAUUGUGA
rnacentral:lncRNA from 1 species